rnacentral:snRNA from 1 species
UCACUUCAGCAGCAUCUAUACUAAAACUGGGACAAUACAGAGAAGAUUAGCAUGGCCCCCACACAACGAUGACACACAAAUUCAUGAAGCAUUCCAUAUUAAA